rnacentral:rRNA from 1 species
AGUGGAUGGGGAGCAACCUAGUUGUGCGUGUGUAAAGGUAGUGCCAAGAAAAGCGAUGAUCAUGUUGAAAAUCAAUUCCCGGUACCCGAAACCGACACAGGUGGGCAAGUAGAGAAUACUAAGGGGCGCGAGGUAACUCUCUCCAAGGAACUCGGCAAAAUGACCCCGUAACUUAGGGAGAAGGGGUGCCACCGAGAGGUGGUCGCAGUGAAGAGGCCCAGGCGACUGUUUAGCAAAAACAUAGGUCUCUGCAAACUCGAAAGAGGAGGUAUAGGGGCUGACGCCUGCCCAGUGCCGGAAGGUUAAAGAAGUUGGUCAGUCUUAGGAUGAAGCUAGCGACUGAAGCCCCGGUGAACGGCGGCCGUAACUAUAACGGUCCUAAGGUAGCGAAAUUCCUUGUCGGGUAAGUUCCGACCCGCACGAAAGGCGUAACGAUCUGGGCGCUGUCUCGGAGAGAGGCUCGGCGAAAUAGGAUUGUCUGUGAAGAUACGGACUACCUGCAUUUGGACAGAAAGACCCUAUGAAGCUUUACUAUAGCUUGGAAUUGUGUUCGGGCUUCCUGUGCGCAGGAUAGGUGGGAGGCGUAGAAGGUAUUCUUGUGGGGAUACUGGAGCCAACGGUGAGAUACCACUCUCAGGAGGCUAGAAUUCUAACUUAAUUAAGGACAGUUUCAGGUGGGUAGUUUGACUGGGGUGGUCGCCUCCAAAAAGGUAACGGAGGCGUACAAAGGUUCCCUCAGACUGGUUGGAAAUCAGUCGAAGAGUGCAAAGGCAGAAGGGAGCUUGACUGCGAGAAGUACAGUUCGAGCAGGGUGGAAACACGGUCUUAGUGAUCCGACGGUGCUGUGUGGAAGGGCCGUCGUUCAACGGAUAAAAGUUACUCUAGGAUAACAGGCUGAUCUCCCCCAAGAGUUCACAUCGACGGGGAGGUUUGGCACCUCGAUGUCGGCUCAUCGCAACCUGGGGCGGAAGUACGUCCCAAGGGUUGGGCUGUUCGCCCAUUAAAGCGGUACGUGAGCUGGGUUCAGAACGUCGUGAGACAGUUCGGUCCAUAUCCGAUGUAGGCGUGAGAAUAUUGAGAGGAGCCUUCCUUAGUACGAGAGGACCGGGAAGGACGCACCGCUGGUGUACCUGUUAUGAUGCCAAUUGUAAACGCAGGGUAGCCAAGUGCGGAGAGGAUAACCGCUGAAAGCAUCUAAGUGGGAAGCCCACCUCAAGAUGAGUAUUCUGGUGUAAGGUCACGGGAAGACGACCCGUAAAUAGGCACGA